AGAGUUUGAUCCUGGCUCAGAUUGAACGCUGGCGGCAUGCUUACACAUGCAAGUCGAACGGCAGCACGGGGGCAACCCUGGUGGCGAGUGGCGAACGGGUGAGUAAUACAUCGGAACGUGUCCUGUAGUGGGGGAUAGCCCGGCGAAAGCCGGAUUAAUACCGCAUACGCUCUACGGAGGAAAGGGGGGGAUCUUAGGACCUCUCGCUACAGGGGCGGCCGAUGGCAGAUUAGCUAGUUGGUGGGGUAAAGGCCUACCAAGGCGACGAUCUGUAGCUGGUCUGAGAGGACGACCAGCCACACUGGGACUGAGACACGGCCCAGACUCCUACGGGAGGCAGCAGUGGGGAAUUUUGGACAAUGGGCGCAAGCCUGAUCCAGCAAUGCCGCGUGUGUGAAGAAGGCCUUCGGGUUGUAAAGCACUUUUGUCCGGAAAGAAAUCCUUUGGGCUAAUACCCUGAGGGGAUGACGGUACCGGAAGAAUAAGCACCGGCUAACUACGUGCCAGCAGCCGCGGUAAUACGUAGGGUGCAAGCGUUAAUCGGAAUUACUGGGCGUAAAGCGUGCGCAGGCGGUCCGCUAAGACAGAUGUGAAAUCCCCGGGCUUAACCUGGGAACUGCAUUUGUGACUGGCGGGCUAGAGUAUGGCAGAGGGGGGUAGAAUUCCACGUAGCAGUGAAAUGCGUAGAGAUGUGGAGGAAUACCGAUGGCGAAGGCAGCCCCCUGGGCCAAUACUGACGCUCAUGCACGAAAGCGUGGGGAGCAAACAGGAUUAGAUACCCUAGUAGUCC
rnacentral:rRNA from 1 species